rfam:Schistosoma margrebowiei strain Zambia genome assembly, scaffold: SMRZ_scaffold0000091
GCACUGCUGAGGAGUCCCACAAUAGGACGAACGGCCGUCCAGUGC